rnacentral:lncRNA from 1 species
UGGAAAGUACAAGAGAUGUGGUUUCACACCAUUUAGCACUUUGAGUAGAAAUGUCCACACUAUCCAAAUAAAGCUAUGUGAGAAACCUCAAAUUCUUGAUUAAUGUCUUGAAGUUUGGAUUCUCUAAUUUAAGAGGCUGUUGAAGUUCGUAAGGCAAUGAAAAACGGUUGUAGAAGCCAGGGUAGAGAACUUUGUAAUAUCUCAAAUAACAAGAAUCUUGAUUGGACAGAUCAAGAGAGACUAACCUUUUUAGGAAUGAGAUCUCCACUGGAAUUUGGCCAUGGAAACAUGAGCUUGAAAGGUUGAGAUGAGUUAGAUUUUGGAGUUUAUCAAACCCAUAGGAAAACAGAGUGGUAUUAAAGUUGUUUCCAGCAAGAUUAAGGCGUUGAAGACGAUGGAGAUUGAAUAUGAGGUGAAAGCUGCCUGAAAGGUUUUUGUAACUAAGAUUAAUGCCAACGACAUGACCAUAAGCAUCACAAGUGACUCCUUCCCAAGAGCAGCAAUCAGUGUUGGGGUGCCAAAGCUCAAAUUUGGAAGAGAAAGUAAAAUGAGGGGCAUAGAAAAGAUGAUGUUGCAAUUGCAGCAGAGGAGAUCUCUGGUCAUCAAGGCAUUGCAUUGGGAGAUGAGUUUGAGGAGGUGAAAAAGACAAGAGAAGAGGAAGGAAGCAUGAGAAGAGAAAGAGUGAAGAAAUAAGGGAAUGAAGAGUGUUCAUGUUGGGUGGGUGUGAAGGACGAUUGUGCUUGGCAUACAACUUAUUUAUGAGUGAUUGGCAUUGCAUGCAAUUUCUGAGUCAUUUUGCCAAAUCAAGACUCCAUCAAAAUACUGUUCCACCAAUUUAGUUAAGUCUUUUUGGUCAAUUUUUUCCAACAUAGGAUAAUAAUUUAUUAUUUAAAGCUGUUAGUGAUGAUGCAUAAAUUAUUUAUUGUUAGUAUUAGAGAUAAGUUGUUAAAUUCACACUUAAUUUACUUUAUGUCUUUCCUUUUUGUUAAUUUUAAUUUUGAAGAAUGAGAUUUUAAUAUUUUAUGGAUCUCAUUAAAUUAUUAAUGCCAAGGUUGUAGUUUUCUUGCCCACUCCUUACUCUAUAUAAAUAAUCAUCUAAAUCUAAGUUAUUAAAAAAGACUAAAUUAUAGCACUUUAAACCCUAUUAGAACCAUUACUACGCAUAGGAUGAGCAAAUAUGAUAAUUCAACUGAUAUUUUGAGUUUAAAUUAUAUAUUUUAGGUAUCGACUUUUUAGCACAAAAAAUCCAUGUUACAAAUAUUUUAACUUUAAUUUAUUUUAAACUCAGGUAAAUUUUAUCAUUUUUAUGUUAUAUAUAAUUAUUUCUACAACAUUUAAUUUUUUUUUAAAUAAAAAAAUUACAAUUUAAUUUUUUAAGUAAACUAUGUUAUAGCACCAAAAAUAUAAAUUUUAACUUAUAAUAUAAAAUCAAUUUUUUAAGAUGAAAAGAUCACUUUUGAAGGGACAUGGACGGAAGCGUCAGUCCUGUAGUACGGAGAAACGAUAAAUAUUUGUUGAGAAGGCUAAAUGCGGAUUCUAAGCCUCAUGAGCCCUUUUUGGGAAUCUCGACAACAUUUGGCUAAAUGAAUUUAAUGGCUCAUGCUUUUUGGGGAAAAAUAAAUAAACUUAAUAAAAAUGAAAUUUUAUUGAAUAAAUGAAAGAAACAAAUGCUAAAGCUUUUUGGGAGAGAGAGCUUUUACAGAAAAGAUGAGUUAAAUCUGUGUCACUCCAUCCCCUAUUUAUAGUACUCAAAAGACCUAGUUUAUUCCUUUCUAAAUUCUAAAAGAUAAAUAAAGAUAAAAGCUAGAAUUAAAUCUAAAUAAUAAUCUUAACAAUAAUCCUAAUAUAAUUAAAAUUCAAAUAGAGUCUUGUGUUUAUAAAAUCUCUUCUUUGAACUAUUGCCCCCAAGUCUUCCACACUUUGCAUUUUCGGCACCAUUUCUUUCCUAUUUUGCAUCCUGACCCAUUUUAUCUUCAAAUUCAUGAUUUUUGCCCCUAAAUUUUAUUUUUCCUUCAAUUUAGUCCCUACAAUAUAAAAACCAUAAAUAGCUCAAUUUAGUAGGAUCAUACUCAAAAUAAAAUAUAUAAGUAAUUAAUACAUAAAGAUAUGUCAUUCCAGAGUAUUAUCAACAACGUUCAACCAUUGUGUACAAAUCAAGUCACAUUAUAAAGACAAAAUUAUAGUAAGUUUCUUAGUUGGAUGAGUGGAAAUUUUGAUGAUACAAUAUAUACAACUUUUCACUUUUGAAAGAAACAUUUUUAAAUUUCGGCUUUCAAACUUUCUUAGACUGUAUUUGGAGGAGAAAUUUGGAGAAAAAAUUUCAUUUCUAUAUUAUUAUUUAAUUUUAAUAUUUCUUAUGUUUUAUAUUAUUAAAAAUAUUUAUAAUUUAAUUUCGAGUUGUAUUUUACAAUUUAAAUAACUCGAAUAAUUCAAACAAAAAAUUGGUGUACAUGCUCCUUUGGUCCUUGUCAAUUUUAAAAUUUAACAACUUGAUCUCUCUCAACCAAAAUUACAAAAUAAUUUAAAAUAAUUUUCAAAAUAUUCAAAAUAAUUUUUAAAAUUCAAAAUAUUCAUAAAAAUUCCAAAAUUUUAUAUUUUUAAAAAUUAAAAUAUUUUUUUUUAUUUUUCAUUUUUGGGGGAGAUGAGAUUGAGAAAGAGAGGAUGAGAAGAGAAAGAAGAAAGGUAGAAAAGGUGAAACAAGGAAAUGGAGUCUCAUGUUGGUUGGGUAUGAAGAAAGAUUAUUUUCAUGCAACAUUUUAUACAUAAAUUUGUAGUUUCCAUAAAACAUUAUCUUUUUACUUAAUAAUUAAUUCCAAUGCAUAUCAUUAUUUACAAAAGUAAAGGUAAUAUGGAAAUUUUUUGAAAUAUUUUAAUUAAAUCCUUAAGUUAAUUAUGAUGAUUCAAUGUGCAAACUAUUUAAAUUUUGGUUAAAAUAUGUUGUUAGUUCUUGUAUUUUGGUCAAAUUUAAGAUUUAGUUCAUAUAUUUAAAAAGUUAAAAAUCUCAGUGCAAUCAUUAAAUCGCAAGUAUUUUUUGUAAAACUUGUCAACUUGAAAUUUUGAUUAAUGUGUCAUCUUAUGGCGUGACAUAUGAUUGAUGAAAAUAAACAUAUUAAACUGAUAAAUUUUGACAAAAACUAUCAACGAUGAUAAUGGCUUGAUUAUGAUUUUUAAAUUGAAAAAGUAGAAGAAUUGAAUUUUUAACUUUUAAAGUAUAGGGAUCAAAUAUUAAAAUUAAAAAUUAAAAAAAUAUGUUAAUUUUUUAAAAAAAUACAUAAAAUUGGAGUAAAAUGUUUGACAGGCGUGUGGAAAUAUUGCAGCCUAUUGCCCUAUUGUUGCUUUAUGCAAUUAAUCUUUUAUUGGCCAAAGUAAUUCCAAUUUCCAAUUAUAUAAUGGUAACCACUAAAAGCAAAAGUAGUGGGAAACAUCCACCAAAUCAACAAAGAGAAACUGCAAAAUCAUUGAUUUCAAACCCAUUUAAUUUCCAUGAAUCUUCCCCAUAUAUUAAAGUCAUCCUAAAUUACAAUUUUAAAAUUUUUCAUACUCUCUUCUUAGUCUUCAUAUCAAUUUCUUCAUGUUUCACACUUAUUUUGCUUUACCAAUGUCUUUUUUGUUUUUCCAUUUGUUAAUUCCAAUUUUGAGCAUGAUAUUUGAUUGGAAUUUGUUGGGUUGUUUUCUAGUCACCAUCAGCCCGACUUUAGGGUAGUUUGGGAAUGUGGCCGUUUAGGGCUCUAAAAAUUUCUUUUUUUGAUACAAUGCCUAAAACUACCCAGUCUCUCCCCAAUCCAUAAAUAGGAGGAUAAUGCACUUCGGCGUACUCGAACCCACGUCCUUCUGUUAAAAUAAAAAUUUAAGUAAAAUUAUAAAACUAAUCCCUACAAUUUUUGUUUUGAAUGAAUUUAAUUCUUUUGGCUUUUAUUUCUACCGGGGAUAGUUUCGUUGAAGUAAAUGAUUUCUUCUCUUAGCUAAGUAAUUUUCUCUCGCAUUAUGAGUACUUCAUAUUUGCUUCUUUAAAUUCAAACCAGAGUCAUAUCACAGCAAAGGAUGAUGAUGAAGCUAUUAGUCUUAAUGGAUGAAUUAUUUAUUCUUAGUCUUAGCAUUAAGGUUUUCAAUUCACAUUUAAUUUGCUUUUGCAUCUUCAAUUUUUUAUAUAUAAUUUUUUUUCAAUUCUAAUUUUGAAAUAUGAGAUUUUUUUGGUCUUAGUGUUCUUAUUGAUGCCAAUAUUUUAGUCUUUCUGUCUCAUCCUUAUUCUAUAUAUAUAUGAAAAUUUUCUUAUAUCUAAAUUAUUAAAAAGACAAAAUAGUAGCAAUAAUAACAUAAAACCUUGUUGGAGUCAUCACCACGCAGAGAAUGAACUGUGUCACCACUCCUGCUGGUUAAAUUAAGGAAUUGCAAGGCUGUAUGAUCCACAGGAAAGACAACCCAUGGUUGCACAUUAUUCAGGUCCCAUGUCUGCAACUAUGGCUCGACCAUGAUUAGCUAAAGAUAAUUCAACCACACCCUCUCCUAUAACCACAUUAAAAAUAGUUACAUUGAUGAUAAAGUCCUAUAAACCUGAAAUUUUUUAUAGUAAAAUCAUUCUAUUCUUAAGAUUUAUGAUCAUAGACUUAACCAUAAAACUAAAAAAUUUUUGCCAACGCUAUGCUUUCUCAACAUCUUGUAAGUUCUUGGACGAUGUGAAUCUACCAACACCAAGCUAUACCAUGCUCAGGGGCUGCAUAAAUUGCAAGAUAUAGAAGUAAAUAAGUUAUAUACUCCUGGUAAAAUAUAGAGGGAAAAUUACAAACUAGUGGAUUAAUCUUGUUAAGAUCAUUGUCAAGAUUCUUAACAGUGUCUCACAUGCCAGUGAGGUCAACUGCUGGUGGCACUCCAGUGUAAUUCUAAGAUAAUAAGAUUUCAUGCAAAUUACAUUUAGAGAACAUGAGCCACCUUAAACAAGAUGCAGACUUGCUUCGGUGAUAAGCCUUUGCACCUUAUGCAUAUCCAAUCUGUACUUUAUGUUGGCAAUGCACGUUUUCUUUUCCAUAGAAUAGAUAACAAACUGCAAUCAACACGCCUUACUGUCUUCUUAGACCAUGAGCCUGAAAAUUAGAACAUGAAGCUUCUCAUUUAUCUACCAACAAGUAUGUCUUUCAUAUGCUUAAACUUAAUUCAAGCAUGAUUAAAGAAGAUGUCAAGGAAAAGAUAAUUAGUUAGAAACUUUUACCAUUGUUUUCAAAGAUAAAGUUAACGAUCUUUGCUUGAGCUUGUCCUGUUUCAAAGAGGCACAUCUAGCAGUGGUGUCUCUUUGCAGAAUCACUCUGUUAAAUGUGGCUUUCAUCAGCAUCAACUCAUCAUAUUAUCUUCCAAGCUGCACAAAAAUAAUUUGAAAAUAAAAUUCUGAACUAAAGAGUAAAUUCAUAUUAAAGAAGGCUUGGAAAAGCCAUGAUCCUUGUUUAUAAUAUAGCAUUAUUGGCAUGAAAGUUCAAUGCUAGAGACAAAUUACGUACCCCUAAUGGCUCUGAAUUGAAGCAAAAAAGAACCUCACAAGGGAGUUGUUGUUCCAAUAGGGUCGGAAGCGUGUAAAUUAUUGUACUAAAAAAUCACACAAAGUUCAAUUCCCAGGGAAGAGAGGUGGAUCACAAGGAUCUCUUAAAUACCAAGUCUUUCCUUAGACAGAAUAUCCCUUCUAUAGUAAUUUAAUAGCACAAUUAAAUACUACUAUUAUACCCUCAAAUAUUGAAAGAAAAAUAGGACAAGAAAAAACACAAGAGUUUUAACGAGGUUCGGUAAAUUAUACCUACGUCCUCGAGCACUAACACCAGAUGAUAACUUUACUAUCUUCAAAGUAUUACAAACAAAUAGAAUUCCUUAAGAAUUCUCAAAUGAGAGAAGAGAGAAAACUAAGAGAGAAAGAUUGGUUGGGAUGAAUUGAAAUGAGAAAUGAGAAGGCCUAUUUAUAGUUGAGGUUUAAGGACCAAACAAUAAAUAGCCCAUUAUCUCAAGGACCAAAAAAAAAUUAUCCCAUGCCACUUUUUCAAAGUCAACUUUAGGGUGCUAAACUUGCACCACUUUGUAUUGUUUGCCAUUAAUGUUGUCUCCCAUUAAUGUUAACAGGAGUUUCUUGAUAUUAGAUUUUGCAUAUCAAGUAUGCUGCUCAUGUUCAACUCACAAUAUUCAUAGAGCAUUCCAAAACUCAUCCUUACCAUAAAUGAGUUCGAUUAAAUUAAAGAAGAUUGAUAGUCAAGACAUUGGGGAGUUUUGCCCCUGCUACAAAAUCGAGAGAGAAAAAAAAAACAAUUUCAGUAUCUGGAUUUAAGAAUUAUGGAUUAGUUGCUCUAACAGAGGAAUGCUUCCUAGGAAAUAAGUUAUAGAAAGGAUUUACAUGAAUCGUAUAGAAGUGAGUAUAUGUAAGUGCAUCAUCACAAACAGCCAAGGACCCUUUUGUCGCUUCUUUCAUUGCUCUUUUCGAAGAGUCUUUUGGAGUUGCAAACCUAAUCCGGCAUUGCGAAAUGAUAAAAUGAAUGUCAAUGCUACAAGCCUACGACUACAAAUACCAUAUGAUAGUGAAGUGUGUCAAGGGACAAAAAAUAAGCUUAGGAAAUUCAGAAUUAGUUUGUAACAUCAAUCUUUUCAAAAUAUAAGCCAACGACUACAAAUACCAUAAGAUUUUGAAUAAUUUGUGAAAGAUAAUGGUUCUUGCAGUUUUUUAAUUUUAGUUAUUAAUAUUUUUAUCACUUUUCAAAGAUAAAUUAAACAAGUGCUUUAGGUUGUUUGCCAACUCUGGAAAGCACACCACAUUGUAAUUAAGACAUCAUUUCGAAUGCCAAAUUGGAUUGAGUCCCUUACUUUAUAUCCACUACUCUGCAUUCGCAUUCAAAUAUAAACUGGCUUUUUAUUGGUUGAAUUGGAUUCGAUAUAUAAACAAUCAAUUUUUUCUUGAAAAAAUCAUUUAAUUGAACAUUGUAAGUAUUAGUUAACUCAACAGUGUCCGAUUAAUUAUCUGAUUUUGUAUUGAAAAUCAUAUAAUAAACAUAUCGUUGUUAAAUAGAUGGGUUUGGAUUUAUUUUUUUCAUUAUCCAAUCCAAGUGUUCUAAUUGAUGCCAAUGCCAAUGUUUCGGACGCUUAAAAUAUUUGGGUUUAGAUUUUUUUUUUCAUGUAUUUGAUGCUUAAAAUAUUUUAGAUGCGGGCCGUCUCGAUUUUAUAUCAUAAUUGUUUAUAUAUAAUUUAAAUUUUUAAAAUGUAAAAGUGUACCAUUAAAAUCUUUUAAUUAAACUUUGGUAUAGCACCCAAAAAUAUAUUAACUUAUAUGUGAAAUCAAUUUACCAAUAAGCAUUUUAGUCCUAAUUUAUUAAUGAGUAUGCAACUUAUGAAUAUGUUAGGAUUUAUCAAAGGGUUAAUUCACUUGAUGUCCCUAAACUAUGGAUUAUAUGUUAAAUUGAACUCUAAACUUCAAAAAAAUAUAAAGCCCAACACAUGAUUGAUAAAAUAUAAAGCUAAUGUCUCUUUGGAAAAGCAAAGGGUGGAAGUAGCAGCGUAUGCGUCUUUUUACACAAUCAGCCCAAUGUCCAUCAGAUUAGGCUUUCAUCAGCAUCAAGCCAUCAAAUCUCCUCAGCUGUUAGGAUCAUUGUUAGGAUCACUGCCUAGAUUCUUCAUGUACCUCAUAACUGUUCAUUCCAUGUCUUGGAUCAAGUACCUAUGCACUUCAACAAGGUAAAUUUGUCAUUGCUACAAGAACAAAUACAAUAUGAUAUGAUAGUGAACUUUGUCAAUAUAUAUUAAGAGAAAAAAUGCUUGUAGUCAUUGUCGAAACCUUUUUGGAAUAAAAUAUAACACACUAAAAAUGAUAGGGACCGAAUAUGAAAAUAUCCCUUGUCCUUAUGCGCACCGUUUCUCAAGGACUAAAAUGAAAUAAAAUUAAAAUUUUGUGGUAAAAAUAACAUAAAACCCAGACCAACAGGUCCACCCUUUACAUCCAAAUGAGCAUUUUGAGCACUAAUUUAUUAAUGAGUAUGGAACUUAUGAAUAUGUUAGGAUUUACCAAAGGGAUAAUUCCUUAAAUUAUGGAUUAAAUUUUAAAUUGAUUUUUAAAUUUUAAAAAAAAUUAAUUAAGUCCUCAUACUAUAAAUCACAUUCUCAUUUGAAAUUUUUAAUUUUGGACUAAAAAAAGAGAAUAUUAGUGUGAGAUAUUGUUGGCCUUUGGCUAACAUUGGAAAGCAUACUAGAUUAAUUUUAAGACAUAAUUUAUUUCAUUAAAUUUUAAUUAUUUUUAUUUUUAUCAUAUUAUUACUUAAUUCAACAAUAUUUUUUAAAUUAAUUUAAUUUUUUAAAUUAAUAAACUAUCAUUGAAAAGAUAAUUAAUUAAACCACUUAUUUUAUUAUUUGAAAGGUCGAGAAAUUGUAAAUUUUUUUGACUCUUUAAGAACUCUAGAAACGCACUUAUGUUACAGGAUCCCAGAUACAAUCGCCUCAACAUUGGGAAAGAGAAGUUUGCAUCACUUAAGGGAAGUUGUUUUGGAAAAUCAAUCAUAUUGAAAGAAAGGUAUACCUGUGAAAGAGUGCUCUUCCACAACCAAUUAGGCACAACACCAUGGAUAUGGUUGUUAGAAAGAUCCAGAGAAAUCAACUUGUCUUGUGUUUUGAUGAAUUCUGGAAAUUCAGUAAGGUUGCAUGAACUUAGCCUUGGGCUUUCUAAUAGGGGAAAACUAAGACUUAUGUUGUCACUUUCAAUUAAGAAGCUUAUAUGUUUGCUUUCAAUUUAAAACCAUUUAUUAUGUUGAUUAAAUCAUAGUAUUAAUUGUUAUUCAAAUUUAAAAUAAAGAAAUUAUCUUAAAUUUAAAAAGUAAAGUAGUUAAUUGAUUCCAAAAGUCUAGUCCAUUAUUUAUAAAACAAAAAAAAAAUAUUUCUCAAGGUAUCUAGUCAGUAAGUAAAUAUUUGCAUUUUGUAAGCCCAUUUAAAGAGUAGAUGCCACGAGUUUUAAAGUUGCUUCAUACUUAAGGCGAGGAUCAAACCCUCGACAUUACUAUAAAUCAUAUUAAUUAUGAUAUUUUCGUCAUUUUGCUUCAUCUUUAUUCUGUAUGAAUAAUAUUCCAGUAUUUCAAUUGAUUUGCCUCAAACUAUGAAUCAGAUCUAAAUUAGUAUCUAAACUUUAAACUAUUCUAAUUAAGUGUUGAAACUAUGAUUAAUAGUUUGAGAGAUUAGUCAUGCAAGCAAAUGUUCAAGUCUUUUGCCUCCUCAUUACUGCAUGAGUUGAACUACUUCGUUUAUAUCAAGUCAUUAAAAAGCAAAUAUAAAUAUUAUUGUCCUUAAUGCAUGCAGAUGCAAUUGUUGAGGUCCUUUUGCGAUAUCAGUAAUGCAUGAAAAUUAUGAUCAACCACUUUGUUGAAGUCUUAUUCUCCUUAUUAAUGCUAAUGUUUCAGUCUUUUUAAGUCUAAGCAUUAUUAUUAAAGUCCAAAACAAAUAAUCAUAUGUUGAAAUAUGUUCAAUAUUUAAAUUUAGUACAUAAAAAUUUAAAAGAAAUCAAAUAAUAGAUUAGAUAUUAAAAUUUGUUGAGUCAAGUUUUUGGAUAUUGCUUAUAGGAAGUAGUCACUUCUAUAACCCUCGCAACAAUUUUAUACUCAUCAUAUUUGAUGUUCGCGAUUUAUUGAUAUAAAAUUUUUAGACAUUAAAUGGUGUUAUUAUUCUAAAUAUAUGCAAGCUCGACUUUGAAAUCCAACUUAUUUUAAACAUCUUCCCUUUUUUGUUGUGGAGAAUGGACCGUGAUUACAUUGAAAAUACCAUUGAAGAAUGAUAAUUAAAAUAAUCAUAUUUUAUACUAUAAAAUAUUUAUUAUUGAAUAUUUAUAAAAUAUAUAUAUUUUUCUCAUUAAAAUAUCAAUAUAAAUAUUUUUUAAUAAUAUAUUAAGAAUAUUAUUUAAAAUUAAAUUAAACUAUUAAAAUUUAUUAAUAAAAUAAAAUUAUAAUAUUAAAAUUAAAAAUACAUUACUAAUAUAAUUAUAUUAAACUUGAUUCAAGUUAGUUUUUAUAUAAAAAUAAAAAUAUUCAUAAAUAAGCUUAGUUCGAUAAAUUAAUUAUGUUUUUCAAAAAGACAAAUUAAUUUACAGAAAAAUGAUAUUAUUUAAAUUUCCAUACUAAAAUACUUUUAAAUUUAAUUAAAAUUAUCAAAGACUAAUGAGAUUCACAAAAUGUCUCAUAUUAUUUAACAACUUCUCAAUUUUUUGAAAAAAUCAAUUUCAUUCUCUCUCUUUUUUUUUCAAAAUUUAUCAACCCUUGAAACACAAAAAAUUUAAUAUUUUUAAUUUUUGACUGACAAAAAAAAUGAUGCUAUGAGAUAUUUUUUAUAUUAUUAGACCUAAUCUUAAUCUUUGGUAUUCCAUGCAAAUGUCUAAAUCUUCUUAGGGAGAUGGAUCGAUGGACAUAAGUAGUGGAAAUUUUGAUGAUACAAUUCUUCUCUUCUUAACAAUUUCUUUCAAAGAAAUAUAUUUAAAUUUCCACACCAAAACUUCUUUAGAUUUAAUUUAAAGGAAUAAAUCCUAAAAUUAUAAAGUAUGGAUUAAUGUGUAAUUGUAUACAGGAAUUUGAAUUUUGUGCAAUGUUAUACAUGAAAUUUUGAUUUGAUCCAAUUCUUAUAAUUUAUCAACACAAUUAUUGAUAUAAAAUCAUUUUAUGUUUAUAUAUUAUAUACAUAAAUAAUUAUAUUUAUCCAAUAUAAAAAUAAAUUGAUGUAUUUAUUUCAUUAAAUGCGUAUGAUUAAAUCAAAAUUAAAGUUCAAAGUAUAUAUUUGAACCACAAUUAGAGUUCCACGUGUAUAAUUACUCCAAACAAAAGUUCAUAUAUACAAUUACACAUUAAAUUAAAGUUGAUAUGUAAUUUUGAGAUUUAUUCCUAUUUGAAAUUAUCAAAGACAAAUGAGAUUAACGAGAUGUAUUAUAUUAUAAACAAAGUUUCAAUUCUUUGAGAAAGUUAAGCUCCAAUUUCAAAAGUUUUUUUUCAAAGUUUAUCAAAUGAAUUCAAAUUUUAAAUCUAAAAUAUGGAUUUUUUUUUAUCUUUUUUAAAUCUAAUGUCAGUUCCAAUUUUCUAGUGUUUUAGAUUGUUUACUAAACUAAAAAGCAAACCACAUUGUAAGGCAUCAUUUCUUUCAUUAUAUAUAUUUUUUUUUACGUAGACACCAAAUUUCAUCGGGAUACAAAUCAGCAUUUUGUGAUAAACUCAAUUUAACUCAACUUUAAUUGUAGCAAAGCUUCUAACCGGGGGCUCUUUUUCCACCAUUUUUCUUCAACACAUUCGGCUCCCAGCUCUCUGGAGGCAUCCUCCAUCACUGAACAUUCUUCACUCACCUUCAUCAUUGCCACCACCAACCACAUCAGCAUCAACAUCAUCAUCUUCAUCUUCAUGGAUACGAUUUCUAUAUCAUUGCACAACGUUUAAAGAACUUCGAUCCUAAAAAGGAUACUUCUAAAUUCAACCUUGUUGAUCCACCUGUGAGGAACGCAGUUGGAGUGCCUGUGAAUGGAUGGGCAACCAUUAGAGUCGUCGCUGAUAAUCCAGGUAAACACCCUUCUUCAUCAUUUCAAUUACUGUGAUUCCAUUACCAUUUUUUUUGUUAUUAGUAUUUUUCUUAAUCAUUUUCAUAGUAUUGUGGCAUACCAAUUCUUCCCUGCAUCUGGGAAACUAGUUUAAUGCUCUGUUUCAUUGGAUAAAUUUCCCUAAAAAGUAUGUGCACAUUGUAAUACUAGUGUGAGAUAGUGUUGGCCUUUGGCUAACAUUGGAAAACAUACUAGAUUGUAACACUAAAAUUCUGAUGGAGUCACCUACACCUUACCUUAAACAUGAUAUGCUGGCAAUAAUGGUGAACGUUGUGAACAUGACAUAGUAAACAGGACAUACAACAGUAGUAUUAAAAGUGUCUAAAGCAUGCAAAAUUGUAAGCUUUUAGUAGCAUCAAGAAUAAUAACUUAAAUUUAGAGUCAAUCAUCAUAUUAAAUCAAGAAUAUAAGGUUGAAAGAAAUUAUUUUUAAAAAAAACACAUUUAUGCUUUUUUAUCCUAUAAGCAAUUUAAUAAUGAACAAAUUGAUCUCUCAACAAAAAUUACAAAAUAUUUCAAAAUAAUUUUUAAAAUUCAAAAUAUUUAUAAAAAUUUUAAAUUAUAUAUAUUUUUUCAAUUGUAAGAAUUUUUUUAUUAUUUUGUUUUGAAAAAGUUUUCAAAUGUAUAUAGUUUUAAAUUUAUGUGCUCUAACAUUGAAUUAAUUAUCUUAUAACAAGAUUUUAAUUUGACAUAUUUAAUUUUUUAAUUGAACUUGAAUAAUUUCACUUGAUUCAAUUUGACUCAAAUUUCAUUUCACUCGACUCAAUUUGAAAAAAUGUCAAAUCAAGUUAGGAUGAUAAAUAGGACUCAUCAGUUCAAUUAACUCAAAAAUUUUUCACUUGAUUCGAUUAAACACUCAUAAAAAUCAUCAAAAAUAAAUGAGACAGAGAUAAUUUGCUGAAGGAUAAGAUGAAAUGUGUUUUAGAAAUUAACAUUUUUUUUCUUUCGCAUGCAAGCUAAUGUUCAAGUCUUUUUACCCAAUAAUGAGUACUCCUAAAUCCUAAUUAUUAAGUAGUAUCCAACUUAUAAAUAUGUUAUGAUCCACCAACGGGUUUAAUUAAAUCCAACACCCCAAAUUAUGGGCUCAACUCUAAAUUCAAGAUUUGGCAUUGCAUGUAAAUGUCUAAGUCUUUGCCCGAUCCUUACUAUAUGAAAACAAUGGUUUACCACUUUGUUUAAGUCAAGUCAUUAUAAACACAAAAAUAAAGCAUAUGUGUUAGCUGGUUGAGAUGGAUUGAUGGGAAUAUGGAGUGGAAAUUAUGAUAACCGCACAAUUUCUGCGAAACUUCGAUUGGUACAAAAUAAGUGCGAGGCUGUACCAAAACCCAACAUGUGUUUGAUAAAAUAAAAACCCCAUGUGUCAGCAAACGGUGGGAGUAGCAGCAUGCAGCUGUCUCUUUACACAAUCAGAACAAUGUCCAUCAGAUAUGGCUUUCAUGUUUGCUGGCUGUGAAGGAGGUUGUUUCCAUACAACUUAUUUAUACACAAAUUAGUACUUUCCAUACAUUAUUUUUAAUUUUGGACUAAGCCCGAUCACUAUUGCAUGAAAAUAAUGUUGUACCACUAAUUUUAUUUUAGUCAAUUAAUAAAAAAAAAUGGAAUUGUGGUGAUUUUUUUUAGCUGGUUGAGAUAAAUUGAUGGCUCAAAAACUAAAUUUUCUCAUAACUUUGAUGACUUUUCAAUGAACUUAAAGUGUAUGGAAUCAAUAGAAAUUUAUGGAAUGAGAUAUUAUUGGACUUAGUCUCAGCCUUUUGGCACUGCAUGCAAAUGUCUAAAUCUUUUUUACCCCAUGAAAACAAUGUUUAGCAAGUUUCUUAGGUAGUUGAGAUGGAUUGAUGGGCACAAGUAGCAGAAAUUUUGAUGAUAAAAUGUUUACAGUUUUUCUCUUCUUAGGCGCAAUUUCUUUGAAAGAAACAUAUUUAAAUUUUCACAUUAAAAUUUCUAUAGAUUUAAUUGAAAUUAUCAAAGACAAAUGAGACUGGCAAGAUAUCUUAUAUUAUUAACAAUUUUUCGAUUCUUUGAAAAAAUUAAUUUCAAUUUCAAAAGUUUUUUGAAAUUAAUAAAACUAUCAUUGAAAGGAUAAACAAACUAGUAUAAAAAUAAGUGUCCGGCUGAACUAAAACUCAGACCAACAGGUCCACCCUUUACACCCGGUCCUAAAGCCCAACACGUGAUUGAUAAAAUAUAAAGCUAAUAUCUGUUUGGAAGAGCAAAGGAUGAGAGUAGCAGCAUCUGCGUCUCUUUACACAAUCCGUCCAAUGUCCAUCAGAUAUGGCUUCCAUCAACAUCAUGCCAUUAAAUCUCCUCAGCUGUACAAAUAUUCUGAAGAUAAAAUAAUUGAAGUAAAAGUAAAUUGCAUAUAAAAGAAAGCUUGGGCAGCCAUUUCCUUGUUUAUAAUAUCAUUAUUAGCAUGGAAAUUCAGUAGCAGUGAAACAUUGCAUCCCCCAAAUCCACAGGGACCUGGAUGCAAAAUGAAUAAACACUUAUUUAUACUCAUGGAAAACUACAACAGGAAAAAAGUGCAUAUAAAGCAAAAUUACAAACCAGUGGAUUGAUCUUGUUAGGACCAUUGCCUACAUUCGUCAUGAACCUCACAACUGUACAUUCCAUGUCCUGCUUCAAGUACCUCCUGCAUUGCUCAAUGGUAACAUCAAAUUACAAGUACGAUAUAAUAGUGAACUUGGUAAAGACAGCAAAAAAUGAGGUUAUAUAUAUAUAUAUAUAUCAACUAUCUGUUCAAAUUAGAAAGACAAAUGCUUACCAGCUAAUUUUGAAGAAAGAAUUCUGAUGGAGUCACCUAUAUCUUCUGCUAUUUCUUUUCCCACACUUUUUGAACUUGUCCACCCAUUUGUUUCCCAACUCAUUCAGCACUGUAUAUCCAAUACAUAGCCCAACGACUAAUCCACUAGCAUAACCUAUCAACGCAAUUUUCCAAGUAGACAGAGCAUUUAACCAUGAAUCUUCACCUUCCCCUGGAGGUGGUGGCAUUGGAAGACUAACUUCAUUGCAUUUCCUUGACAAUGGCAGCCCACACAAUUUUGGGUUCCCACGGUAGGAAUCAUUUGUAAAUGUAAUGAAUUGGUUGCUUUGUGGUAUGCUCCCUUCAAGUUGGUUGCAUGACAAGUUCAAUGCUGCCAGGAAAGUUAAACUUGUAAGUUGUGCAGGAAUCUUCCCUGACAGCUCAUUCUGUGAGAGAUCCAAAGAUUCAAGAUCUUUUAGAUUUUCAAGUGCUAAUGGGAUUUCACCAGAAAAGCCAUUGUUGGAUAAGUUUAUCACUCUGAGUGACCUCAGCAUUUGUAUCUCUUCUGGUAUUCUCCCAUGGAAACUAUUGUUGGAAAGGUCAAGACAAGUAAGAAUUGUCAAGACUUUUUGGUACAACAUUUCAAUCCCUCUGUUAACAAUUGUCACAGAGUCUUGAUAAUAAUUCUCUCCGAUAUAAUCCAGCGUAGCCUUUUCAUCAUUAGUCAUCUCCGCCAUUGCCUUCAAACUCUGCAAAAAUUCAAUAGACAAGUCACCUGAAAAAUUGUUGGAAGCAAUGUCCAAUAUGCGUAGCUUUGGAAACCCACGUUUCGUGUCAAUUUUUGAAAUUGUGCCGUAGAAUCUGUUUGCUCGCAAAACGAGAACCUUCAAGGAAGGUAGCUUCUCUAACCAAAAUGGGAAUGUAUCAUGAACCAUAUUAUUUCCAAGGUCCAGAACCUCAAGUGCUGUGCAAUUGGCUAAUGAUCUCGACAGCUUCCCUUCCAAUUUAUUCCCACCUAUUUUGAGUGACCUUAGUCGAGUGGGUUGAAGGAAAUCAAUGGAUAGUUCACCAGAAAACUGGUUUGAAGCAAUGUCCAAUACAUCCAAAGUUGGGAAAACAGAUUUAUGUUUGAAAUGUUUAAUUUGACCAUAAAAUCUGUUUUCCCGCAAUAUUAGAACCGUCAAGUAAGGCAAUUUCUCCAACCAAAAAGGGAAUGUAUCAUUCAUCUUGUUGCUUCCCACGUCCAAAACUUCAAGCUGAGUGCAUUCAGCUAAUGAUCUGGGCAACUUUCCUUCCAAUCUAUUCUCACUAACUUUGAGAAACGACAGUUGGGUUGCUUUUGAAAAUUUUGGCAUCAUUCCACUGAAGUUAUUUCCUUGCAGAUCCAACGAAUAGAGAGCACUCAUAUUGCCCAAGCAAUUCGGAAUUGGGCCACUCAAACUGUUAUAAGAUACAUCAAAACGGCCGAGUCGACUCAUUUUGCAUAACCAAUUUGGAAUUGGGCCACUCAAAUUGUUAGAAGAUGCGUCGAAACUGAAAGGCCCCUGUGAAAAAUUUGAACUCUGAUUGGGUAGAAGUUGUUCCAAAGACGAGAGAUGGUUAUUAGCAAGAUACAGAUACCGCAAACUUUUCUUCCACACCCAGUUUGGAAUUGCACCACUUAUUUUAUUAUUUGAAAGUUCGAGAUAUUCCAAAUUUUCUUGACUCUUUAAGAACUCUGGAAAUGAGCUUAUGUUACAAGAUUCCAGAUACAAUUCCCUCAACAUUGAAAAAGAGAAGUUUAAAUCACUUAAGGGAAGCUGUUUUGGAAAAUCAAUCACAUUGAAAGAAAGGUUUACCCUUAAAAGAGUGCUAUUCCACAACCAAUUAGGCACAACACCAUGGAUAUGGUUGUUAGAAAGAUCUAACACAACCAACUUGUCUUGUGUUUUGAUGAACUCUGGAAACGCACUUAUGUUACAAGACCUCAAAUGCAAUACUUUCAACAUUGGAAAUGAGAAGUUAGCAUCAUUUAAGGGAAGCUGUUUUGGAAAAUCAAUCAUAUUGAAAGAAAGGUCUACCCAUGAAAGACUGCUCUUCCACAACAAAUUGGGCACAACACCAUGGAUAUGAUUGCUAGAAAGAUAUAAGUCAACCAACUUGUCUUGCCUUUUAAUGAAUUCUGGAAAUUCAGUAAGGUUGCAUGACUUUAGCCCUAGGCUCUCUAAUUGGGGAAAAGUAAGACUUCCGUUGUCGCUGUCAAUUAACAAGCUUACGUUGGAUAAGUAGAGACCCUUUAAGUUCUUGAGUUGGACAAACAUGUCAAGCUUCAUGGAACUGAAGCUAUUGUCUCGGAUAUAAAGCCAUUCAAGCCUUGGAAGUUGAAGGAUUGAUUUUGGGAUUGUUCCUUUUAAAUAAUUAUUGCCUAUAUAUAAUUCUUGAAUCAAAGAAGAAGAUGCAUUGGGGAACUCAUCAAUUUUCCCAACCAAUUGAUUUUCUCCAAGAUACAAGAUCUUCAACGAUGGAAGAGUAAAUAAAGAAGAAUGUAUUGAUCCAGAAAGCUUGUUCCCUCCUAGAUAUAGGUUGACCAGGUGACUAAGAUUUGCAAUUGACGAUGGAAUGGGUCCAAAAAAAUUGCAAUCAUCAAGCUCUAAAUUUGUCAGGAACUUGAGGUUACCAAUUGAUUGGGGUAGUUUUUCACUGAAAUUUGUAUAAGAAAGCGACAAACUCUGUAAAGAAUUGUUUGAUGAAAAUUCUGGCAACUGACCCAUAAGUUGGUCAUUAUCUGAAAUGUCAAUGCUUUGCAUUUUUGGCGAUAAGAGAUUUUCAGUUGGAAAAUGGCCACUCAAAUUGCAGUUCCUCUGUUGGUGCAAGAGGCAGCAGCAAGCUGUUUCUAGUCUUGCUUGAGUAGUAAGGCUCGAGGCUUGGUGAAGAAGCAAACUCGGAAGCAAUAAAAAACAGAAAGAUGAAGCUAGCAAGUGAAAACAGAAAAGAGAGAAAGAGAUUGAAUGAAAAUGAGCUGAUAUUUUUCAUUAACACAUGAACAAGGCAUUAAGCCAUUACAUAUAUCAGUCAAUAAGUAAAACAAACAAGUAAUCACCUACUAACAUACCUAACACCACUAAAAUGCCUAGUAACUUGGUAAACUUGAUUGAAAAACAAAAAAGCUUCUACCUAAGCUUGUCAUUCAGCACCUAAUUACAUCAAAAUGCAGCUACCAACUAAGUUUGAUCCUAACUAAAUACAAAACAUUCAAUUAAGGAAACCAAAUGAAUAGCUUCAGCUUGCUGCAUCAAUUUGCUGCUGAAGCACGUUCCUUGCAUGGCCACCUUUGCUGCUACAUGGGAGCUGACUUCAACACUCCUCCUCAGCUUCUAUGCAGCAGACUCCUAGCUUCCUCUUCAGGCUUAGAUAUCUUGAUACACCAAGAGGCUUUGUGAAGAUAUCGGCAAUCUGAUUUUCAGAACUGCAAUGGAUUAGCUCAAUUUCUCGAGCUUGUUCCAUUUCUCUUAUCACAUGGAGUUUGAUGUUGAAAUGUUUUGUCCUGCCAUGAAAGACAGGAUUUUUAGCAAUAGCAACUGCUGACUUGUUGUCACAAUGUAUCACAGUUGCUUCAUUCUGCUGUAGAUUCAAGUCACUCAAAAUUUUUCUCAGCCACAUGGCUUGAUUAACAGCAUUGGCAGCUGCUACAUACUCUGCUUCUGCUGUCGAUUGAGCCACCAUUGUUUGUUUUCUUGAGCUCCAACAAAUCAUAGCUGAGCCAAGUGUAAAAGCAUAGCCAGAAGUGCUCUUCAUGUCAUCCUUUGAACCAGCCCAAUCGCUAUCAGUGUAGCCAAUCAGUUUCAACUCUUCAGCCUUUCUAAACUGUAUUCCAUGGUUUAAGGUACCUUUAAUGUAUCUUAGCACCCUUUUCCCAGCCUUGUAAUGUUGCUGGUUACAGCAGUGCAUGAACCUUGAUAGCAUGCUUACAGCAAACAAAAUGUCGGGUCUUGUUGCUGUCAAAUACAAUAAACACCCAACAAGGCUUCUGUAAUCUGUUUCACAGACAGAUUCAUGUUCCUCCUGGCUCGAUAGCUUUAUGCCAAUAGCCAUUGGUGUGCUCACUGGUUUGCAAUUCUCCAUUGAGAAUUUAGCCAGCACUUUCAAGGCAAAUGUCUUUUGUUUCAAGAAGAUUCCUCCUUCUAUUUGAUUGACUUCCAUUCCUAGGAAAUAUGUCAUCAAUCCCAGGUCUGACAUCUCAAACAUUUUCUUCAUUCUUGCUUUGAAAUCAACCAUCAUAAGCUUGUCUCCUCCAGUCACGAGAAGAUCAUCAACAUAUAGUGACACAAUAAGCUGUGUUUCAGCUCCAUUCUUCUUAACAUAGAGUGUUGGCUCACUAGCACUCCUUUCAAAUCCCAAACUGACCAAAUAUGAGUCAAUUCGAGCAUACCAGGCUCGAGGGGCCUGUUUUAGGCCAUACAAGGCCUUUCUUAGCCUAUACACCAAUUGUUCCUUACCAGGCACUAUAAAACCUGGGGGUUGCUCGAUGUAUAUCUCUUCUUCAAGAAAUCCAUUGAGGAAUGCAGACUUGACAUCCAUCUGGUGGAUUGUCCACUGGUUCUGAGCAGCAACUGCAAUCAGCAAUCUGAUUGUAUCGAGUCUGGCUACUGGAGCAAAUGUUUCCAUGUAGUCCAGACCAUACCUUUGACUGAAGCCCUUUACAACUAGCCUGGCCUUUAGCUUGUUUAAGCUUCCAUCUGCAUUGUACUUCACUCGAUAGACCCAUUUUACACCGAUAGUCUUUCUGUUGGCAGGCUUUUCAACCAACUCCCAUGUCUGAUUCUUUACAAUCAUGUUGAUUUCAUCAACCAUAGCUUGUUUCCAACCUUCAUCUGCCUCAGCCUCUUCAAAACUGCUAGGUUCUGCUAAUGCAACCUGUGCCCUUUCAUAAAUAUCUUCUAGGGGCCUUGUGCCUCUCACAGGCACAUCAUCAACAUCCAUUUCAGGUUCUAGCUGCUCAAGUUCAGCUUGAUUAGGCACUAGGUCUUCUGAAAUUGCUUCUGGCUCAUUUUUCUCCCAAUUCCAGCAGGCUUUUUCAUCAAAGAUGACAUCUCUGCUCACUUGGACUUUGUUUGUCAAGGGAUCCAGAACCCUGUAGCCCUUUUUGACUGAGCUGUAGCCUACUAGAACACCUGGUUGAGCCCUUUUAGAGAGCUUGUCUCUCUUUGCUGCUGGUAUUUGUGCAUAACACAGGCAACCAAACACUUUCAGGUGUGCCAAGGAAGGCUUGAAACCAAACCAAGCCUCGAAAGGUGUCUCGGAUGCAAGAGCUUUAGUGGGAAGCCUGUUCUGAAGGUAAACAGCAGUGUUUACUGCCUCAGCCCACAUGGUCUUGGGCAGUUUCUUCUCAAACAGCAGACAUCUGGCCAUAUCCAUCAGACUUCUAUUCUUUCUUUCAGCUACCCCAUUCUGCUGAGGUGUGUAGACAUUUGUAAGCUGAUGUUUGAUACCAGCAUCAUUGCAAAUGGCUUGAAACUGAGCUGAAGUGUACUCAGUGCCAUUGUCUGUCCUUAUCGAUUUCAGCUUGCAACCUGUUUCUGUUUCUACAGCAUUUUUAAACUUCACAAACACUUGAGCUACCUCAGACUUGUGUUUUAAAAAGAAAAUCCAGCAAAACCUUGUAAGAUCAUCAAUAAAGAGGAUGAAAUACCUGUUUUUGCUGAGUGAUUCAGUCCUCAUCGGGCCACAUACAUCAGAGUGCACCAGCUGUAGUCUUUCAGUAGCUCUCCAAGCUGAAUUUGUAGGAAAUGGCAGUCUUGCCUGUUUCCCCAUUUGGCAGACUUCACACACAUCAUCAUGCUCCACUGAGCUGGUGAAGUUCUCUGCCAUGCCCUCUUUGGCCAAUCGAGCCAUUGAUCUGAAGUUGGCAUGUCCAAGCCUUUGAUGCCAAAGCUUGGAGUCUUCAACAGAGGCUGUGUAUGCUGAGUUUGAGUCAUUUGCCCAGUGAACCUCAAAGCAUUUAUCAGUCAUUGUGACUGUCAUAAGGCUUGAUCCACUUGGAUCAGUAAUAUGGCAUUGUUUAUCCUUGAACACAACAGAAUAACCUUUCUCGAGCAGUUGAGCUAUGCUGAGAAGGUUUCUGUCAAUCUGUGGUACCAACAGCACAUUUGGAAUGAUCUUGUUGCCUGUGGGAGUAGAUAUCAGCACUUCUCCUCUUCCUUCAGCCCUUAUAAACUGACCAUUUCCAACCUUGACCUUGGUUUUAUAACUUCUGUCCAAGGUUUUAAACAAGGAGGCAUCUGGUGACAUGUGGUUAGUGCAACCACUGUCCAGCAGCCAGCCUUUAGAGCAUUUCUUCUCAGAAGCUACACAGGAAACAGCAAAGACCUGUUCUUCUUGGUCACUACUGUCCUCAGCUACUCGAGCUUCAACCUUUGACUGCUGAAAUUGAUUCUGCCUUGGCUUACUUCUGUUUUUGCAGACCCUUUCAACAUGGCCCUUCUUCUUGCAGUGUUGGCAUACUGCAUCUGGCCUAAACCAGCAUCUGUCUUCUGGAUGGCCAGGCUUCUUGCAAUAUCUGCAUGGCUGGUCAUUGCUCCUUGCAGCAUCAGGCUUAGGCCUGUUUUUCCAAGGCCUUUUGCCUCUUUGAGCAUUAGUGCUCGAGGUUUCUCUGGCCUUGGCUUGAAAUGCACCUUCUUGGUGAUCUUCAGCUCUGCUAGCUCUUCUUUGUUCCUGAGCAUAAAAGGUGUUGAUUAGCUCAGUCAAAGAGAUGCUAGCAAGAUCUCUUGAGUCCUCUAGAGAGGAUAUCUUGGCCUCAUAUCUCUCAGGCAAAGUGGAGAGGACUUUCUCCACAAUUCUUGCCUCAUCAAAGUGCUCACCUAGGAGCCUUAUGCUGUUAACCACUGCCAUAAUUCUAUCUGAGUACUGCUUCACUGUUUCUUCUUCCUUCAUCUUCAAAUUCUCGAAAUCCCUUCUCAAGUUUAGCAGCUGCUGUUGCCUUGUUCUCUCAGUGCCUUGAAACUCCUCCUUAAGCUUAUCCCAGGCCUGUUUUGGAGUCUCACAGGCCAUGAUUCUGGUGAAGAUGACAUCUGACACACAGUUCUGGAUGCAGGACAUGGCUUUGUGCCUUUUGGUCCUCUCAUCAGCAUGUUGCCUAAUCUGAGCUACUGUGGGAUUAGCCCUCAGUGGUGCUGGCUCAGUAUCUGUGUUGACAACUUCCCACAGAUCAAAAGCCUGUAGGUAAGUCUUCAUCUUGACCAGCCAUAUGUGAAAGCCUUCUCCAUUGAAGACUGGUGGGGCUGCUGGUGAAAAUCCUGAAGAAGCCAUCAAGUUCUUUGUUUUGAAGCAACAGGUCCACUAAGACAAGAGCUCUCGAUACCAAUUGUUGGUGCAAGAGGCAGCAGCAAGCUGUUUCUAGUCUUGCUUGAGUAGUAAGGCUCGAGGCUUGGUGAAGAAGCAAACUCGGAAGCAAUAAAAAACAGAAAGAUGAAGCUAGCAAGUGAAAACAGAAAAGAGAGAAAGAGAUUGAAUGAAAAUGAGCUGAUAUUUUUCAUUAACACAUGAACAAGGCAUUAAGCCAUUACAUAUAUCAGUCAAUAAGUAAAACAAACAAGUAAUCACCUACUAACAUACCUAACACCACUAAAAUGCCUAGUAACUUGGUAAACUUGAUUGAAAAACAAAAAAGCUUCUACCUAAGCUUGUCAUUCAGCACCUAAUUACAUCAAAAUGCAGCUACCAACUAAGUUUGAUCCUAACUAAAUACAAAACAUUCAAUUAAGGAAACCAAAUGAAUAGCUUCAGCUUGCUGCAUCAAUUUGCUGCUGAAGCACGUUCCUUGCAUGGCCACCUUUGCUGCUACAUGGGAGCUGACUUCAACAUCCUCAAACUGAGAGAAACCAAACGAGAGGAAAUUUCCAAGAAAUUGGGAGGUAAAUAAGAGAUUGGGUUCCAAUCAAGGAUAAGUUUGGAAAGAAAAGAGAGUCUUGAGAGUGAAGAACAUAAUGGACCUUUCAAACCACAGCUUGACAGACUCAACACAUGCAGGUUUGGAAGUACAAGAGAUGUGGUUUCACACCAUUUAGUACUUUGAGUUGAAAUGUCGACACCAUCCAAAUAAAGCUCCGUGAGAAACUUCAAAUUCUUGAUAAAUGUCUUGAAGUUUGGUUUCUCCAAUUUUAAAGUAGCUGAGUUAUAAUCGUAACCAUUUCUCCAAUAGCAAUCAUCUUGAUAAGAUAGGUUCAGAGAGACUAACCUUGUUAGGUGUGAGAUGUUCAUUGGAAUUUGGCCAUGGAAACAUGAGCUUGAAAGGUUGAGAUGAGUUAGAUUUUGGAGUUUAUCAAACCCAUAGGAAAACAGAGUGGUAUUAAAGUUGUUUCCAGCAAGAUUAAGGCGUUGAAGACGAUGGAGAUUGAAUAUGGGGUGAAAGCUGCCUGAAAGGUUUUUGUAACUAAG